UUCAGACCCCAGAGCAGAAGUAGACUUUCAGCAUAACAGUCUUUCCUAGCAUCCAAAGAACAGCCAAAGUCCCAUGGAUGACCAGGAAUCACCUAUGUAUUACCGUGAUACAGAAAUGCCACAACAAUCAUCUGGAGAACAAGGCUGUUCCCGGUGUCUGAUGGUACACAGUGAUAUAGAGAAACUCAAGGAACAACUAGCGGCCAUUCAGUCCCUCACUGAGAAGUUCCAGUCCCUUGGAAUUUGAAUCCAGUAUCUUCAUACACAACAAUCAUUCAGUGCUUGGAACCCAGAAAGUGUUGCUCAACGGCUUCAGAACAGUUCUUCUACACCCAGUACCUCUCCUUGGUUCCCUGCCCCCCCU